UGAGGAUUGGGAAUUGCAGUAUUAUCUUGUUUCUGUUAAAGGGUUCUCCCUCCUGCUUUUCUGAAUCACCUCCUUCUUAUGUUUCUCCCCAAAUCUGAUCUAGCCUAAAGAAUGCAGGAAUUCUGGUGAAUAAAAUUCUCUAUCUGGUUAUACUUCCUUUGAACAAAUAUUUAAUGAGUGCCUGCUGUGGUCUGAGAGCUCUACUAUGAAUAAUCUCUCACAUUUGGCAAAGACCAAAAAAUGAAACUUCACAUUUGAAAGAGGCUCUGCAGUCAGAUUUUGGUUCUAAUAUCCUACACAGCGCUAUCCUGGCACCCUGUGAGAUGGAGGAGGAGCAGGCACCAAGCAGAUUGCUGGAAAUCAGUGACCACAGGCCGUGCUUUCAAAGAGGUACCCCUACCGCUGAUCCUAUUGCUGACAUCUAUGUGGAGGCAUGGUGCUUUCCAUCCAGUUGAAGACAAAGACACAUGGCAGGUGGCCAUGUGAAGACAGAGGCAGAGAUUGGAGUUAUAUUUCUGCAAGCCAAGGAAUUCCAAGGGUUACCAGCAGCCACG